GUUAGGAAUAUUGGACAAUGGGCGCAAGCCUGAUCCAGCCAUGCCGCGUGAGUGAUGAAGGCCUUCGGGUUGUAAAGCUCUUUAGCCGAUGAUUAUAAUGACUGUAGUCGGAAAAUAAGCCCCGGCUAACUUCGUGCCAGCAGCCGCGGUAAUACGAAGGGGGCGAGCGUUAUUCGGAAUCACUGGGCGUAAAGCGUGCGUAGGCGGCUUUGCAAGUUGGGAGUGAAAGCCCAGGGCUCAACCCUGGAAUUGCUCUCAAAACUGCAAGGCUCGAAUUCGGGAGAGGAUAGCGGAAUUGUCAGUGUAGCAGUGAAAUGCGUAGAUAUUGACAGGAACACCAGUGGCGUAAGCGGCUAUCUGGACCGACAUUGACGCUGAGGCACGAAAGCGUGGGGAUCAAACAGGAUUAGAAACCCUAGUAGUCC
rnacentral:rRNA from 1 species